rnacentral:rRNA from 1 species
AUUGAACGCUGGCGGCAGGCCUUACACAUGCAAGUCGAGCGGCAGAAGGGGGGUAGCCCUUGGAUUCAGCGGCGAACGGGUGAGUAAUGCAUCGGAAUCUGCCUGGUCGUGGGGGAUAACGUCCGGAAAGGUGCGCUAAUACCGCAUACGAUCUGAGGGUGAAAGCGGGGGACCUUCGGACCUCGCGCUAUCAGAUGAGCCUAUGUCGGAUUAGCUAGUUGGUGGGGUAAAGGCCUACCAAGCCGACGAUCCGUAACUGGUCUGAGAGGACGACCAGUCACACUGGAACUGAGACACGGUCCAGACUCCUACGGGAGGCAGCAGUGGGGAAUAUUGGACAAUGGGCGCAAGCCUGAUCCAGCCAUGCCGCGUGUAGGAAGAAGGUCUUCGGGUUGUAAACUGCUUUUGUAUGGGAGGAAGAGGAUUUAGCUAAUACCUUGCUGUUAUGACGUUACCAAAAGAAUAAGCACCGGCUAACUUCGUG